CCCAAGAUUUGCUGCUGGAGGUUCAUCAUCAGCUCCUGGAGGUUCAUCAGUUGCUCCUACACCAAGAAACCAUUCUGGCUGGAUGGCAUUUUUUACUGCUAGUGGUAACCAUGACUAAUGAUGUGUAUUCAGAGUAUUUUCUGGUUGUAUGAUCAGUACUAAGUGAUGUGUGAUAAGUGAUAAGUACUAAGUUCUAUGAUGUGUAUUAAGUGAAUUUGCUGGUUGUACUACCAGUAGUAAGUGAUUUGUGAUAAGUGAUAAGUACUAAGUGAUAAGUAUUAAG
rnacentral:lncRNA from 1 species